CAAGGGCAGACGCCCCUCCCCCAGCCUCGCUGCUGUCUUGCAGUUCGAUCUCAGACUGCUGUGCUAGCAGUGAGCGAGGGUCUGUGGGCAUGCGACCCGCUGAGCCAGGCACUGGAUGUAAUCUCCUGGUGUGCAGUUUGCUAAGGCCAUUGGAAAAGCGCAGUAUUAGGGUGGGAGUGUCCUGAUUUUCCAGGUACCAUCUGUCAUGGCUUCCCUUUGCUAGGAGAGGGAAUUCCCCAACCUCUUGUGCUUCCCGUGUGAGGCGAUGCCCUACCCUGCUCCGUGGGCUGCACCCACUGUCUGACAAGCCCCAGUGAGAUGGAACUGGUACCUCAGUUGGAAAUGCAGAAAUCACUGGUCUUCUGUGUUGCUCAUGCUGGGAGCUGCAGACUGGAGCUGUUCCUAUUUGGCCAUCUUGGAACCCGAAAAAUGCUGAUAUUCUUAAAAGAAUAAAACUCUGAGCUGGGACCAUCUCAUAAUGUUUGUGUACAUUCCUGUUGUCUUCUACCUCCCAUCCACCGUGUCUCUCUACUGCCUAUAACCAGCCUACAUAAGUUCUUUCAAGAGAUCAAGAAAGAAACAGAAAUCUAGACAGAGAAGGUGAAAAAGAGAAGACCUAACAGAGAGCUAAGAAAGCAAGAAAGGAAAGGAGCGGUGUAAUGUGCUACUGCAUAGGGAAGAGCUCAAGCUUCAGUUGCCUGCCUCAUGGCUGUUCUGAGCUAUCAGGAUGCACCUAGAAGAACCACAGGAGCAUGGACGAACCCUUGAGAAAGAAGCUCAAGUCAAUCAAACAUCAUUAGAACUCGCCUAUAUGUCAAACACCUGUCCACGCCUUUAAACUCCAGAGAAGAUAUAUCCAAGCUUUCUGAACACACACAGUGCUCCUCCUUUCAGAUGCCCUGCUUCUCUCAGAAUGGAUACUGACCAGCAUCUUCAGAUAAUUCCUCCACACAGGUCUCUCCCAUCAAUUCUCAUUGCAGUUUAGUGGGAAGCAAUAUAUGGCAGAACACACUUUAUAAUUCUGCAGCAUGCCCUUCCUGCAAGGUUUCACAUAACACUUCAGACUUUA
rnacentral:lncRNA from 10 species